rnacentral:rRNA from 1 species
UACGUAGGUGGCAAGCGUUUGUCCGGAAUUAUUGGGCGUAAAGCGCGCGCAGGCGGUCCUUUAAGUCUGAUGUGAAAGCCCCACGGCUCAACCGUGGAGGGUCAUUGGAAACUGGGGGACUUGAGUGCAGAAGAGGAAAGCGGAAUUCCACGUGUAGCGGUGAAAUGCGUAGAGAUGUGGAGGAACACCAGUGGCGAAGGCGGCUUUCUGGUCUGUAACUGACGCUGAGGCGCGAAAGCGUGGGGAGCAAACAGG